rnacentral:rRNA from 1 species
CAGAGGGUGCGAGCGUUGUUCGGAAUUACUGGGCGUAAAGCGCGCGCAGGCGGCCUUUUAAGUCUGACGGUGAAAUGCCGGGGCUCAACCCCGUGCCCGCCGGAGAUACUGGGAGGCUGGAGACGAGUAGAGGCAAGCGGAAUUCCGGGGGUAGCGGUGGAAUGCGUAGAGAUCCGGAAGAACACCGGAGGCGAAGGCGGCUUGCUGGGCUUUGUCUGACGCUGAGGCGCGAAAGCGUGGGGAGCGAACAGGAUUAGAUACCCUGGUAGUCCACGCCGUAAACGAUGGGCACUAGACGCGGGUGGGAUCGACCCCUUCCGUGUCGCAGCUAACGCGAUAAGUGCCCCGCCUGGGGAGUACGGCCGCAAGGCUG